GACAUAGGUGACGACCGUUAUCCGGAAUUAUUGGGCGUAAAGGAUGCGUAGAUGGUUCGAUAAGUUACUGGUGGGAAGUCGAGGCCCAACCUCGUGGAAGCUGGUAAUACUGUCGAGCUUGAGUGCAGGAGAGGUUAACGGAACUUUAUGUGGAGCGGUAAAAUGCGUAGAUAUAUGAAAGAACACCGAUAUAGCGAAGGCAGUUAACUAUUCUGCUACUGACAUUGAGGCAUGAAAGCGUGGGGAGCAAAACGG
rnacentral:rRNA from 1 species